rnacentral:rRNA from 1 species
UACGAAGGGGGCUAGCGUUGCUCGGAAUCACUGGGCGUAAAGCGCACGUAGGCGGACUCUUAAGUCGGGGGGUGAAAUCCUGGAGCUCAACUCCAGAACUGCCUUCGAUACUGAGGAUCUCGAGUCCGGGAGAGGUGAGUGGAACUGCGAGUGUAGAGGUGAAAUUCGUAGAUAUUCGCAAGAACACCAGUGGCGAAGGCGGCUCACUGGCCCGGUACUGACGCUGAGGUGCGAAAGCGUGGGGAGCAAACGGG